AAGCUUACCUGGCAGGGAAGAUAAACAUGAUCACAAAGGUGAUUUUCUUCCCAGGGAAAGACUUUUCCAUGGCACUCUGGAUAUGCUAACACCUGUCUUUUCCCUAAAUGUGGGAAAUACGAUUGCAUAAUUUGUGGUAGUGGGGGGACUGUGUUCAGAGUCCCCAU